UACGUAGGGUGCAAGCGUUAAUCGGAAUUACUGGGCGUAAAGCGUGCGCAGGCGGUUAUGCAAGACAGAUGUGAAAUCCCCGGGCUUAGCCUGGGAACUGCAUUUGUGACUGCAUGGCUGGAGUGCGGCAGAGGGGGAUGGAAUUCCGCGUGUAGCAGUGAAAUGCGUAGAUAUGCGGAGGAACACCGAUGGCGAAGGCAAUCCCCUGGGCCUGCACUGACGCUCAUGCACGAAAGCGUGGGGAGCAAACAGG
rnacentral:rRNA from 1 species